AUUGAACGCUGGCGGCAUGCCUUACACAUGCAAGUCGAACGGUAACGGGCAUUCGGGUGCCGACGUGUGGCGAACGGGCGAGUAAUACAGCGGAACGUGGGCGAUCGUGGGGGAUAAGGGGGCGAAAGCUGUGCUAAUAACCCAUACGAGCUACGGGUGACAACAGGGGACCGCAAGGCCUUGCGCGGUCGGGCCGGCCGAUGGCAGAUUAGGUAGUUGGUGGGAUAAAAGCUUACCAAGCCGACGAUCUGUAGCUGGUCUGAGAGGAUGAUCAGCCACACUGGGACUGAGACACGGCCCAGACUCCUACGGGAGGCAGCAGUGGGGAAUUUUGGACAAUGGGCGCAAGCCUGAUCCAGCCAUGCCGCGUGCAGGAUGAAGGCCUUCGGGUUGUAAACUGCUUUUGUACGGAACGAAAAGCCUUCUUUUAAUACAGGAGGGUCAUGACGGUACCGUAAGAAUAAGCACCGGCUAACUACGUG
rnacentral:rRNA from 1 species